GUAGCAAACGGGCUCCGUUGCCACCCAUUUGUUUUCAAUGAUGGAGCCCUCAAAUCGACGAUCGGCACCGUUGAACAUGAUCUAUAUCAUUUGAAGUAUCUAGAAAUUAAAUUUCAAAUAUUUUCGAUAUCAUUGACCUAAUGAUCAAAGGGUUUCAAAAUUUGUAAUUUUAAUGGUUGAUGUGAGGUGUUUUCUCGUUUAACGGUAUAAAGCUAUCCAAAUCAAUUGAAUUUUGGUUAGAAAAUUUUUUAAACUAUUUAGAACAAGAUCUACACUCUCGAUCUUGAUUACAAAAUUUUUAUCAUCACUUUUUAGAGGAUAUUUAUUUUCAGCCGUUCAUUUUUACGCCCACUUGAUGAACGAGAGAACAACAUCGUAAAAACAUGAAAUUUGAUUUCUGGAUACUUCAAGUGGUAUAGAUCAUUUUCAACGGUGCCAAUCAUCGAUUUGGAGGCUCCAUCAUCGAAAACAAAUGGGUGGCAACGGAGACCGUUUGCUACCGAUAGUAUUCCAGCUCAACUCUAAAUAUAUAUAUAUAGAGUUGGACUGGGCUACUAUUAGUAGCAAAAUUCCAUUGUUACUACUAGUUUUUUAGCCUUUGGAUCAACUCUUUCAAUAUUUCUAACCAUUGGAUUAAAUACUAUAACCCAGUGGCGACCGCUCAAUCCUAGGGGGACCACUCAACUCUAACCGACUAAUAUCAUCCCGACCCUACAAUUUUUCAUCCAAGGGUUAAAAACUUGAUAGCAAAAAGAGCGUUUUACUAUUAAUAGUAUUCCAGCCUAAUUAUAUAUAUAUAUAUAGAGUCUGACUAGGAUACUAUCGAUAGCACCAAGGAGUUGGUGUUAUCGAGUUUUCCAUCGUUAGAUUUAACCCUUUGAUUAUUUUUACCCAUUAGAUUAUACUAUUCAACUAACCACCCACUCAACCCUAGAGGGCCCACAUCAUGCUAACCGCACAUUUCUCAAUCUAAGGGCUAAAAAACCAAUAGCACCAAUAGAUUGGUGCCAUUGAUAGUAUUUCAGCUUAUAUAUAUAUAUAUAUAUAUAUAUAUAUAUANUAGACGAUUGCGGUAAGGGCAUCGCGUCCUAGGUAGAGACCGCCCGAGACAUUUAUCUAUUUUAGUUGCAUACCCCUUUUGUUAUAUGUCAUCUUUUGUACUUGAUGAUUUAGUUGUUAAAGAAAAGAAUAUGUAUGUUGUGAAAGAUCUUUACAUUUAAAUGCAAGAAUGAUAUUUUGAAAUCCUAUGAUGUAAAAGAAAAGAAAUGAUGAAAAAUGUAAUCGAUUCCUUAAGCGUAGUUGUUUACUUUCACUCUUGGCUAUUGCUUGCCCUCAUGCAAGCCAUUGUGUAUACUUUCGCUUAUGCAAUUUCUAUACUCUAUCUGUACUUGUUGUUGAGCCUUGGGCGGACAGGGGGAGGCUCUGUCCGUUCGGCGUCUGUCUCAUGCUCUCGAACCGGCCAAAGAGGAUCGGGCUCGGGGCGUGACAACUAUCGAUAGUACCAAGGAUUUGGUGCUAUCGAGUUUUCCAUCGUUAGAUUGAACCCUUUUAUUAUUUUUACCCGUUAGAUUAUACUAUUCAACUAACCACCUACUCAACCCUAGGGGGCCUACAUCAUCCUAACCGCAUAUUUCUCAAUCCAAGGACUAAAAAACCAAUAGCACCAAUAGAUUGGUGCUAUUGAUAGUAUUCCAGCCUAAUUAUAUAUAUAUAUAUAUAUAUAGAGCUAGACUGGUAUACUACCGGUAGCACGGAGGCCUCCGUGCUAUCAAGUUGUUUUCAAUGAUGCGGCUUCCAAAUCGACGAUCGGCUCCGUUAAACUUGAUCUACACUAUUGAAAGCAUUUAGAGACUAAAUUUCAUAAUUUUUCGGCAUCAUUUACGUAUCAAACGAGUAGUCUAAAAAUGAACGGCUGAAAAUAAAAAUCUUAUAAAAAAUGAUGAUAAAAGACUUGAAUUUAAAAUCAGAGGUGCUGAUCUUACUCUAAAUAGUGAAAAGAAUUUUCUAUAAAAUUUUCAUCAGAUUUGGAUAUUUCUACACCGUUAAACUUGUAACCGGCUCACCACGGCCGUUAAAAUUAUUGAUUUUGAGCCUCUUCGAUCACUAGGCAAAUGAUAUCGAAAAAUCGCAAAAUUUAUUUUCUAGGUACUUCAAAUACUCUAGAUCAACUCUAACAGAGCCGAUCGUCGAUUCGAAAGUCCGAACAUCGAAAACGGCUUGGAAGCACGGAGGCCUCCGUGCUUCCAUAAGCAUACCAGCACAACUAUAUAUAUAUAUAUAUAUAUAUAUAUAUGAGUAGGACUGCUAUGCUCUCAGGAGCACGGAGGCCGCACGGAGGCCUCCGUGCUCCUGAGCCGUUUUCGAUGAUGGAAUUUUCGAAUCGACGAUCGGCUCCGUUAGAUUUGAUCUAGCGUAUUUGAAGUUUCUAGAAAAUAAUUUUUGCGAUUUUUCAAUAUCAUUUAACUAACAAUCGAAAGGUAUCAAAAUCAAUAAUUUUUAACGGCUGAAAAUAAAAAUCUUAUAAAAAGUGGUGAUAUAGCACUAAAAUUUUCAAUCAGAAAUAUUAAUUUUGUUGUAGAUAGUAUAAAGAAUUUUGUAUUAAAAUUUCAUUUGAUUUGAAUACUUCUACACCGUUAAACUUGAAAACGACAAAUAUCAAACCAUUAAAAAUUAUUGAUUUUGAAUCUUUUCGAUCACUAAGUAAAUAAUAUCAAAAAAUAGCAAAAAUUAUUUUCUAAAAACUUUAAAUAUCCUAGAUCAAGUCUAGCAGAGCCGAUCGUCGAUUCGAAAAUUCCAUCAUCGAAAACAGCUCAGGAGCACGGAAGCCUCCGUAUUCCUGAGAGCACAGCAGCUCUGCUAUAUAUAUAUAUAGUAGAGCUACUAUACUAACGAAAGUAUAAAGUAGUUGGUCCUUUCGAUUUGUUAUCCUUUGGAUCAAAGACUCUACGGUUGGGAUGAUAACUGUCCUCUAAGGGUUGAGUGGUCCCUAGGGUUGAGUGGUCCCUAUUGGUUAAUAAUAUUAAUCCAAUAAUUAGAUAUGAUCAAUGGGAUUAAUUUAAGAACUGAAAAAUCAAAAGCACCAACUAUUUUAUGCUUCCAAUAGCAUAGUAGCUCUACUCUCUCUCUCUCUCUCUCUCUCUCUCUCUAUAUAUAUAUAGAUGAAAGAACCAUCUUCAUCUCCUAUCCGUCACCUCUAUUAUCUCUAAUUUUUUUUAUCAAAUUAUAUUAUUUGUUCCAAAAUAUAGUUAAAAUUUAUUUUUAUUUAAUAAUUUGUUAUUUAUAUUAUAAAGAGUUUGUAAGUAUUAUAUAUGUUAAAUUUUAAAAGGUUAGUAAUCUCACUCUCUUUUUAUAAAAAGUGUUCAUAUAUUAAAAUUUUCAAUUAACCAAAUAAGUAAAAUAAAAAAAAAAACUAUUUUUUAAUUUUUUGUCUUACCAACCAAAGACGUAUACAUGAAAAAUUAAUUUUCUUUUCCACCGAACCAAACAACAAAAACUAAAAAAAUUUUCCACAAAAUUUUUUUCUCCAAAAAAGUAGUUUUCUACAUCUGAUUACCCAAGAGAUGACAAUUUUAAAAGCUGAAAAGAAAAUUAUUUUUAAAUUUUUAGUUUUCAUUGUCGAAUAAACACAUUGAAUAAAAAAAUUACAAGUAAUUUUCUAUCCACUUCUAAACUUUUUAUAUACCAAUAAAAAAGAAAAAACAAACACAAUGCCAAUCAAGGACUUAAUUUAAUACUUUUAUUUUGUAAUUCUCUAAUUCCUAAUGUUAUUAUUUUAAAUUCAAAUUAUAAAUUUAACUUUUAGUAAUGUUUUGUUUUUUUUUUUGGCUUUGUUUCUUCCAAAUAAAAUACAAUUUAUAGCUGCAAUCCAAAGUGCAAAAAGAAAAGCCCUCUAAAAUCCUGUUUUCACCCAGAAAUUCUCAACAAAUCCAGCUUGCCACUUAUUAUUAAUUAAACAUUGAUCGAAGCCGAUUUUAAUAAGAUACAAUAACAGCAUUUUUUUAUUUUUUUUUUCUGUGAGAAAGAUACAAUAACAGCUAUUGACCUCUGCAUGUAUAUAUAAUAGUAAUAAUAAAAAUAAUAAUAAUAGUAANAAUGAUGGAGCCCUCAAAUCGACGAUCGGCACCGUUGAACAUGAUCUAUAUCAUUUGAAGUAUCUAGAAAUUAAAUUUCAAAUAUUUUCGAUAUCAUUGACCUAAUGAUCAAAGGGUUUCAAAAUUUGUAAUUUUAAUGGUCGAUGUGAGGUGUUUUCUCGUUAACGGUAUAAAGCUAUCCAAAUCAAUUGAAUUUUGGUUAGAAAAUUUUUUAAACUAUUUAGAACAUGAUCUACACUCUCGAUCUUGAUUACAAAAUUUUUAUCAUCACUUUUUAGAGGAUAUUUAUUUUCAGCCGUUCAUUUUUACGCCCACUUGAUGAACGAGAGAACAAUAUCGUAAAAACAUGAAAUUUGAUUUCUGGAU
rnacentral:lncRNA from 1 species